GAAUAUCUUUGGCCUGUAGUGCAAAGAUGAAUGAUUUCUUGAUGAAUAUCUUUGGCCCGUAGUGCAAAGAUGAACAGAUGUUGAGAUGAACAUGACCGACUGAUUAAUAUCUUUGGCCCGUAGUGCAAAGAUGAAUAUUUGAUUCCAGAUAUAUAUUGAUUGAUGUUACAGGGAUAAAAUAUCGACGAUGAACUUUUAAAUUCAUAUAUAGAAGAUAGUAGUUUGCAUUCUCUACUUAACUCUUCUAAUGAAUUGUUGUUUCCGCUGCAGUUGUUGAUUUAAAACUGGUUGUCUAUUGUAUUCUAUUAGAUUUUUCCCUGUUGGAGACUAACGAUAAUUUGUUGUAUAUUAUCUUAGUCAUAAUAUUCUUUACUGGGCUAGUUGAGCUCACCC
rnacentral:lncRNA from 1 species